rnacentral:rRNA from 1 species
UACGUAGGCAGCAAGCGUUGUUCGGAGUUACUGGGCGUAAAGGGUGUGUAGGCGGUUGGAUAAGUGUGGUGUGAAAUCUCCCGGCUUAACUGGGAGGGUGCGCUACAAACCGUCUGGCUAGAGUCCGGAAGAGGAGAGUGGAAUUCCCGGUGUAGCGGUGAAACGCGCAGAUAUCGGGAAGAACACCCGUGGCGAAGGCGGCUCUCUGGGACGGUACUGACGCUGAGACGCGAAAGCGUGGGGAGCGAACAGG